rnacentral:misc_RNA from 1 species
AAGUCGUAACAAGGUCUCCGUUGGUGAACCAGCGGAGGGAUCAUUACAGAGUUGAAAAACUCCAACCCCUGUGAACCUACCUUUACUGUUGCUUCGGCGGACGAAGGCCCCCCCGGGGCCUGACGCCGCCGGAGGUUACAAACCCUGAAUUUUAGUGUAUCUCUGAGCACAAAACCAAAUAAUUAAAACUUUCAACAACGGAUCUCUUGGUUCUG